rnacentral:lncRNA from 1 species
CCGAUUCGAAUAAGAAUCUCUCACCUUACUCUCUAUUAUAGAAUUAAAGUUUAAUAAUCGAUAAUAUGGUAUUUUGUGUAAUUUAAAAAAUUUUCAGAAUAAUUACAGGUUACUAAUGGAGGUGAAACUGAUUAGUUAUUUAUUGUUUGUCAUGUUUAACUAGUGGUUUGAUUUUACAGCCUUAAAUACAUAAUAAUAUACUGG